GUUGGAAUCAGUUGGGAGGUGGGUUUGGGGUGUAAGGGGGAGCAGCCAGAGGUGGCACCCCACAUGCCAGGGUCAGGGUGGUAAAUGAGGGUCAUUGAGCAUCAAGGUCUUAUCAGAGAUGGGACAGGAUGGCUGGUCAGGAGGUCACAAAGAGAUUCACAGGGUGGCACUAAGGAAUCAAAUUGGGUCAGGAUUAAAGUCAGGGUCAGGACUGGGUGCAGUGGCUCACCCACGUUCAGCUAAUUUUUGUAUUUUUUUGUAGAUAUGGGGUUUCGCCAUGUUGCCCAGGCUGGUCUCGAAAUCCUGGGCUCAAGUGAUCCACCCACCUUGGCCUCCCAAGUGCUGGGAUUACACGAGUAAACCACCAGGCCCAGUCUAUUUGAUUCGACUGGAGAUACUGCAAGGUCACAGGUUGUAGUGGGGGAUCAGGGCUCAAGAGGGGGUCUUGGGAGGAGCUGG
rnacentral:lncRNA from 1 species